rnacentral:rRNA from 1 species
AUUGAACGCUGGCGGCAGGCCUAACACAUGCAAGUCGAACGGUAGCACAGAGAGCUUGCUCUCGGGUGACGAGUGGCGGACGGGUGAGUAACGUCUGGGAAACUGCCCGAUGGAGGGGGAUAACUACUGGAAACGGUAGCUAAUACCGCAUAACGUCGCAAGACCAAAGUGGGGGACCUUCGGGCCUCACACCAUCGGAUGUGCCCAGAUGGGAUUAGCUAGUAGGUGGGGUAAUGGCUCACCUAGGCGACGAUCCCUAGCUGGUCUGAGAGGAUGACCAGCCACACUGGAACUGAGACACGGUCCAGACUCCUACGGGAGGCAGCAGUGGGGAAUAUUGCACAAUGGGCGCAAGCCUGAUGCAGCCAUGCCGCGUGUAUGAAGAAGGCCUUCGGGUUGUAAAGUACUUUCAGCGGGGAGGAAGGCGGUGAAGUUAAUAACUUCACCGAUUGACGUUACCCGCAGAAGAAGCACCGGCUAACUCCGUGCCAGCCGCCGCAGUAA